GAUGAACGCUAGCUACAGGCUUAACACAUGCAAGUCGAGGGACCGGCGCACGGGUGAGUAACACGUAUCCAACCUGCCCUUUACUCGGGGAUAGACUUUCGAAAGAAAGACUAAUACCCGAAAUAAAGGGUGGGGAUGCGUUCCAUUAGGUUGUUGGUGAGGUAACGGCUCACCAAGCCUUCGAUGGAUAGGGGUUCUGGUGGGAAGGUCCCCCACAUUGGAACUGAGACCCGGUCCAAACUCCUACGUGAGGCAGCAGUGAGGAAUAUUGGUCAAUGGGCGCUAGCCUGAACCAGCCAAGUAGCGUGAAGGAUGAAUGCUUAUGGGUCGUAAACUGCUUUUAUAUAAGAAUAGGUAUUAUAUGAAUAAGGAUCGGCUAACUCCGUGCCAGCAGCCGCGGUAAUUC
rnacentral:rRNA from 1 species